UACGAAGGGUGCAAGCGUUACUCGGAAUUACUGGGCGUAAAGCGUGCGUAGGUGGUUUGUUAAGUCUGAUGUGAAAGCCCUGGGCUCAACCUGGGAAUUGCAUUGGAUACUGGCAGGCUAGAGUGCGGUAGAGGAUGGCGGAAUUCCCGGUGUAGCAGUGAAAUGCGUAGAGAUCGGGAGGAACAUCUGUGGCGAAGGCGAGUCUCUGGACAAAUCCUGACGCUGAGGCACGAAAGCUAGGGGAGCAAACAGG
rnacentral:rRNA from 1 species